rnacentral:rRNA from 1 species
AGUGAACGCUGGCGGUAGGCCUAACACAUGCAAGUCGAACGGCAGCACAGUAAGAGCUUGCUCUUACGGGUGGCGAGUGGCGGACGAGUGAGGUAUACAUCGGAAUCUACUUUUUCGUGGGGGUUAACGUAGGGAACCUUACGCUAAUACCGCAUACGACCUACGGGUGAAAGCAGGGGAUCUUUGGACCUUGCGCGAUUGAAUUAGCCGAUGUCGGAUUAGCUAGUUGGCGGGUUAAAGGCCCACCAAGUCGACGAUCCGUAGCUGGUCUGAGAGGAUGAUCAGCCACACUGGAACUGAGACACGGUCCAGACUCCUAUGAGAGGCAGCAGUGGGGAAUAUUGGACAAUGGGGGCAAGCCUGAACCAGCCAUACCGCGUGGGUGAAGAAGGCCUUAGGGUUGUAAAGACCUUUUGUUGGGAAAGAAAAGCAGCAGGUUAAUACCCCGCUGUUCUGACGGUACCCAAAGAAUAAGCACCGGCUAACUUCGUG